rnacentral:rRNA from 1 species
UACAGAGGUCUCAAGCGUUGUUCGGAUUCAUUGGGCGUAAAGGGUGCGUAGGUGGCGGUGUAAGUCAGGUGUGAAAUCUCGGGGCUCAACCCCGAAACUGCACUUGAUACUGCCUUGCUCGAGUACCGGAGAGGAGAUUGGAAUUUACGGUGUAGCAGUGAAAUGCGUAGAUAUUGGGAAGAACACCAGUGGCGAAGGCGGUUCUCUGGGACGGUACUGACGCUGAGACGCGAAAGCGUGGGGAGCGAACAGG